rnacentral:rRNA from 1 species
UGGGGAAUAUUGCGCAAUGGGCGAAAGCCUGACGCAGCAACGCCGCGUGAGUGAUGAAGGCCUUCGGGUUGUAAAGCUCUUUCGGCCGGGAAGAAGUGAGUGGGUGCUAACAGUACCCAUUUGUGAUGGUACCGGAAGAAGAAGCACCGGCUAACUUCGUGCCAGCAGCCGCGGUAAUACGAAGGGUGCAAGCGUUGUUCGGAUUUACUGGGCGUAAAGGGUUCGUAGGCGGGACUUUAAGUCAGAUGUGAAAUCCCUAGGCUCAACCUGGGACGUGCAUUUGAAACUGUAGUUCUUGAGUAUCGGAGAGGGUGAUGGAAUUGCUGGUGUAGGAGUGACAUCCGUAGAGAUCAGCAGGAACACCGGAGGCGAAAGCGGUCACCUGGUCGAAUACUGACGCUGAGGAACGAAAGCGUGGGGAGCAAACAGG